rnacentral:rRNA from 1 species
GUGCACCAGUCGAGAAACCUUUGCAAUGCGCGAAAGUGUGACAAGGUGACUCCGAGUGCUCAUGCGUAAGCAUGAGCUUUUCCCGAGUGUAAACAGCUCGGGGAAUAAGGGCCGGGCAAUACCCGUGCCAGCCGCCGCGGUAAUACGGGAAGCCCGAGUGGUGCCCGCGAUUACUGGGCUUAAAGCGUCCGUAGCCGGUCCGGUAAGUCCUUGGUGAAAGCCCCAGGCUUAACCUGGGGAGGUGCCAAGGAUACUGCCGGUCUAGGGGAGCGGGAGAGGCGAGGGGUACUCCGGGGGUAGCGGUGAAAUGCGUUGAUCCUCGGGGGACCACCGGUAGCGAAGGCGCCUCGCUGGAACGCGUCCGACGGUGAGGGACGAAGGCCAGGGGAGCGACCCGGAUUAGAUACCCGUGUAGU